rnacentral:tRNA from 1 species
GCCUUCGUGGUGUAAUGGUCAGCACACUGAGCCGGUAUUUCCGAGGUCCGCGGUUCGAUUCCCGGCGAAGGCG